CUCAAAAAUAAAGAAAAACAUUAAAAAAAAAAAAAAAAAGAAAUAUGUCCUACAGGUUUAGUGGCCCUGUGUGCACCAGAAAGUAUAUGCAAGAGUACUUAAGCAUUACUUGGAAUGAAAAAAAUAUAUAUCCAUAAGCAACCUGAAUGUUCUUUAGUAGAUGAGGACUUAAAUAAGUGGAGUCCAUAGAAUAGAAUGUGUAUGAUUGUUUUAGGAAUUAGGCAGAGCUUUCCGAACUGAUGUGCCACUCUUUGUGCUAUGAAAAAAAUGUCAGUGUCAAUGUUAAUAUGCUGUAAUUUAUGUUUUUUUUACAUUUAUUUGUUUAUUUUGGAAGAGACAGAGCACAAGUGGGGGAGGAGCAGAGACAGAGAGGGAGACAGAGAGAAUCCCAAGCAGACUCCGCACCACUUCCAGUGCAGAACCCGAUGCGGGGCUCAAACUCACGAAACCCGGAGACCUGAGCGGAAACCACCAGUCACGCUUAACCAGGUGAGCCACCCAGGACCGCUGAAAGGGCAGCCUGGGUGAGACGCAUGGUUGGCUGGAGGAUGACAGGCAGCCCCACUGUUUGCUCAGAAGGGUGGACCAGCGAGGUGGAUCAAGAAUCAGGCGAGCCUCUCUGGACCCCACCUGGGACCCUAGGCAUGUCACCUACACACAGGUACACAUGGUUCUUCUAGAGAGCAUGUUGGGGGUGAAUUCCGUCAAUGUGUAGGUGACAUGUAUCAUUAACAUAUCAAAGUGGGAAGGGGGCACUUAGGGAUUUCCUAGUCUAAUCCCUUUGUUUUACAGAAAGAAACAGACUUGAAGCGAAGUGAGUUAUAAGUCCAAGCCAGGGCUGGAUCCCAAAUUUCUUGUCCCUUGGUACUCUAGGAGUAGAGUAGUGCUGGGGUCCCACUGGGGUCUAGGUGAGAAAUGGCCUUAAAAUGGGGCAUGAGUUCUCAAGUGGUGCCAGCUCCUACCUCUGAGUCUGCUUUAAAGGAAGGAGUUGCAUAUCCACCCCCCCCCCCCAACCGAAGUAGUGGGUUUAUGGGGCAGAGGAUAUGAUCUUGGGAAGAGAAGACAGAAGUGAGAAAGAUGGAAUCACUUACUCUUUUUGAACAGGAAAGUGGAGCAAAAGGAACCUGGAUGCAGGAGGGGAGGGCCCAUCGAGGGUCCUUCUUCCUUGACAGGGAGGGACUGGUUUGGAAGAUCAGGCUGUCUUGCACUGUAGCAAGAGGAAGAUUCUUGGGGCCCACAGUGUGCUCGAGAACGAUCAUCAAGUGUCCAAACAGAGCCUUAGCUUCCGGAACAGGCUUGGUCCUGUCCAGAUAGGCGUCGGCAGCUCCCACUUCCUCAUGGGUAACUCGCUUCAGCUGUCCCAACAGAGCCAAGCACCUGCUGCCCAGCGUAGACUUGUCCCCCACCCCAACCUGCCUGACGGGCGCAGGGGCAGCUAACAUUUACCCAGGCCCUGCCCUAGGAAGUGAGGGAGAUAGCACUGGUCUCCCCUCUUCUCUUCCCCGUUCCUCUUCCGGCCCCACCCCACCACUACCCUCCCACCCCGCCAGUCCUCCAAAACGGGGCCUGCCUCAAGACACCUGGUGGUUGCUAUGAGGAGGCAGGAAGGGCUAAGAGAGGCCAAACUCCGUGUGUAACCAGAGAAGAAUCAGACUUACAGGCACACAGCUUUAUCAUAAAAGUGAAAAUAAUAUGAAAAUGUUUUUUUUUUUUAUUUCUAAGUACAAAGCCAGAUACUAUUAAGACUGUGAAAAACUGGCCAGAGGCCGUGAAGGACAAGAAGAAGACUUUCUUUGGCCUGGUGCCCUGUGACCCAGCGCACUGCUGUCGGGGAGUGGCGUGGGGCGGGGGACAACAGCAGAAGACGGGCUGGUUGUGGAGUGCGGGAGGAAGGCCCCAUCGGCGGGACCGCUCUCUGCUCCUCAGAGCCUCCAGAACUGGGAACUGAGGUUACUCUUGGCCUUUAAGGGCCACCGGUUCUCUGGCCUAGCGGGCCCCAGGAAUGAAGAGGGGCAGGGGUGA